rnacentral:rRNA from 1 species
AGUGGGGAAUUUUCCGCAAUGGGCGAAAGCCUGACGGAGCAAUACCGCGUGAGGGAGGAAGGCUCUUGGGUUGUAAACCUCUUUUCUCAGGGAAGAACACAAUGACGGUACCUGAGGAAUCAGCAUCGGCUAACUCCGUGCCAGCAGCCGCGGUAAUACGGAGGAUGCAAGCGUUAUCCGGAAUGAUUGGGCGUAAAGCGUCCGCAGGUGGCUGUGUAAGUCUGCUGUCAAAGAGCGAAGCUCAACUUCGUAAAGGCAGUGGAAACUACACGGCUAGAGUGCGUUCGGGGCAGAGGGAAUUCCUGGUGUAGCGGUGAAAUGCGUAGAGAUCAGGAAGAACACCGGUGGCGAAGGCGCUCUGCUAGGCCGCAACUGACACUGAGGGACGAAAGCUAGGGGAGCGAAUGGGAUUAGAUACCCCAGUAGUCCUAGCUGUAAACGAUGGAUACUAGGCGUGGCUUGUAUCGAC